rnacentral:rRNA from 1 species
AACGUAGGAGACAAACGUUAUCCGGAGUUACUGGGCGUAAAGGGCGUGUAGGUGGUUACGUAAGUCUGGCGUGAAAUAUCUCGGCUUAACCGAGGCAGGUCGUCGGAUACUGCGAGACUAGAGGACGGUAGAGGCGUGUGGAAUUCCGGGUGUAGUGGUGAAAUGCGUAGAGAUCCGGAGGAACACCAGUGGCGAAGGCGACACGCUGGGCCGUACCUGACGCUGAUGCGCGAAAGCUAGGGGAGCGAACCGG